AACGAACGCUGGCGGCAGGCUUAACACAUGCAAGUCGAACGCCCCGCCAGGGGAGUGGCCGCCGGGUGAGUAACGCGUGGGAACAUACCCUUUCCUGCGGAAUAGCUCCGGGAAACUGGAAUUAAUACCGCAUACGCCCUACGGGGGAAAGAUUUAUCGGGGAAGGAUUGGCCCGCGUUGGAUUAGCUAGUUGGUGGGGUAAAGGCCUACCAAGGCGACGAUCCAUAGCUGGUCUGAGAGGAUGAUCAGCCACAUUGGGACUGAGACACGGCCCAAACUCCUACGGGAGGCAGCAGUGGGGAAUAUUGGACAAUGGGCGCAAGCCUGAUCCAGCCAUGCCGCGUGAGUGAUGAAGGCCUUAGGGUUGUAAAGCUCUUUCACCGAUGAAGAUAAUGACGGUAGUCGGAGAAGAAGCCCCGGCUAACUUCGUG
rnacentral:rRNA from 1 species